rnacentral:rRNA from 1 species
UACGAAGGGGGCUAGCGUUGCUCGGAAUUACUGGGCGUAAAGGGAGCGUAGGCGGAUAGUUAAGUCAGAGGUGAAAGCCCAGGGCUCAACCUUGGAAUUGCCUUUGAUACUGGCUAUCUUGAGUAUGGGAGAGGUAAGCGGAACUCCGAGUGUAGAGGUGAAAUUCGUAGAUAUCAGGAGGAACACCAGCGGCGAAGGCGGCGCUCGUGGGCCGGUACUGACACUGAGGAGCGAAAGCGUGGGUAGCAAACAGG